rnacentral:rRNA from 1 species
UGAAAAGCCCGCUCGCCGGAAGACCAAGGGUUCCUGUCCAACGUUAAUCGGGGCAGGGUGAGUCGACCCCUAAGGCGAGGCCGAAAGGCGUAGUCGAUGGGAAACGGGUUAAUAUUCCCGUACUUGGUGUUACUGCGAAGGGGGGACGGAGAAGGCUAUGUUGGCCGGGCGACGGUUGUCCCGGUUUAAGCGUGUAGGUGUGUGUUCCAGGUAAAUCCGGUUCACUUUAACACUGAGGCGUGAUGACGAGGCACUACGGUGCUGAAGCAACAAAUGCCCUGCUUCCAGGAAAAGCCUCUAAGCAUCAGGUAACAUCAAAUCGUACCCCAAACCGACACAGGUGGUCAGGUAGAGAAUACCAAGGCGCUUGAGAGAACUCGGGUGAAGGAACUAGGCAAAAUGGUGCCGUAACUUCGGGAGAAGGCACGCUGACACGUAGGUGAAGUGAUUUACUCAUGGAGCUGAAGUCAGUCGAAGAUACCAGCUGGCUGCAACUGUUUAUUAAAAACACAGCACUGUGCAAACACGAAAGUGGACGUAUACGGUGUGACGCCUGCCCGGUGCCGGAAGGUUAAUUGAUGGGGUCAGCGCAAGCGAAGCUCCUGAUCGAAGCCCCGGUAAACGGCGGCCGUAACUAUAACGGUCCUAAGGUAGCGAAAUUCCUUGUCGGGUAAGUUCCGACCUGCACGAAUGGCGUAAUGAUGGCCAGGCUGUCUCCACCCGAGACUCAGUGAAAUUGAACUCGCUGUGAAGAUGCAGUGUACCCGCGGCAAGACGGAAAGACCCCGUGAACCUUUACUAUAGCUUGACACUGAACAUUGAGCCUUGAUGUGUAGGAUAGGUGGGAGGCUUUGAAGUGUGGACGCCAGUCUGCAUGGAGCCGACCUUGAAAUACCACCCUUUAAUGUUUGAUGUUCUAACGUGGACCCGUGAUCCGGGUUGCGGACAGUGUCUGGUGGGUAGUUUGACUGGGGCGGUCUCCUCCUAAAGAGUAACGGAGGAGCACGAAGGUUGGCUAAUCCUGGUCGGACAUCAGGAGGUUAGUGCAAUGGCAUAAGCCAGCUUGACUGCGAGCGUGACGGCGCGAGCAGGUGCGAAAGCAGGUCAUAGUGAUCCGGUGGUUCUGAAUGGAAGGGCCAUCGCUCAACGGAUAAAAGGUACUCCGGGGAUAACAGGCUGAUACCGCCCAAGAGUUCAUAUCGACGGCGGUGUUUGGCACCUCGAUGUCGGCUCAUCACAUCCUGGGGCUGAAGUAGGUCCCAAGGGUAUGGCUGUUCGCCAUUUAAAGUGGUACGCGAGCUGGGUUUAGAACGUCGUGAGACAGUUCGGUCCCUAUCUGCCGUGGGCGCUGGAGAACUGAGGGGGGCUGCUCCUAGUACGAGAGGACCGGAGUGGACGCAUCACUGGUGUUCGGGUUGUCAUGCCAAUGGCACUGCCCGGUAGCUAAAUGCGGAAGAGAUAAGUGCUGAAAGCAUCUAAGCACGAAACUUGCCCCGAGAUGAGUUCUCCCUGAGACUUUAGGUCUCCUGAAGGAACGUUGAAGACGACGACGUUGAUAGGCCGGGUGUGUAAGCGCAGCGAUGCGUUGAGCUAACCGGUACUAAUGAACCGUGAGGCUUAACCUUACAACGCCGAAG